ACACUUUAUAAUUGAAAUGAGCCAAAUCCAAAUAGCUUACAACUUAAUUCAUUUUAUACACCUAUAUGCAUAUAAUAUUAAGUCAAAUACUUGUAUGAUAUUAUAAUUGAAUUCAAAUUUUAGUUUGUAAUUGACAUAAAUAUUAAUAUAAUAUUAAAUUUUUACAUAUUUUUAUGUAAUUUCACUAAUUAAGUUAGUUUUUUUAAUACAUAAGAUUAAUGUAUUGAUUAUCUUUAUAUUUAUUAAAGGAUUUUUUUUUGUUCUUUUGUUAAUAUACACACUAUGACAUAUAUGAAAUUACUCAAAUCCAUCUUAUAUUAUGUUUUAUUUGACCCUUUAUUAUGUAAUUUUUGCAGAAAAAGCAACAUUUUUACAUUGAAAUUAAAAAUUUUCAUGGACAAACUGAAAAAUAAUUGCUUUUAUUGUUAUUAAAAAAGUAAAAUUAGGCUAUACAAUAGAAUUUUAAAAAAAUAAGAUCAAAUACUAUGACGUAUAAACGUUUGCUCUCUCUUCCGGGCCCUGUACCUUUCGUUCUCUCUCCUACUUCUUCCUCCCUCCAUCACGGUCUUUCGUUGCUUUAAUGGCAACCUUUGCUUUCUUUAGGAUUAAUUAAUAAAUCCCACAUCGAAAACUUCAAUUAACUUAAUAUAGUAUAUAAUUAAUUUCGUAAUGCUGAAGGUUUGCCCGAGUUCGGUGGUGCGAGCUCCUUGCUCAAGCCGCAGAGCAUUGGUUUGGCUGAGAAGCUAAACACAGAACACUAUUGGGGGGCACGGCUAAAUCUUUAGAAGGAUGUUGGCUCGGUUCUAAUUUAAGUCCGCACUGAUGGUUCUGCAAAGACAGGCUUUGGGCUUUGUGGAAGUUCCUUAACGAAUAUAAUAGCCAUACGUCACCGUAGAUCUGUCGUGUGGCUCAUCAUUUCUUACAAAAGAAGCCCUUGAGUGGCCAACUCCCGAUUAUCUUUCCUUAGCCUUCGCCGGGGUGGUGUCCGGCCUUUUUUUUUUUUUUUUGGGAAAAGCAAAGUUUAAAAGUCUUGAAUUCUUUUUUUUUUUUUACCAGUUCUUUUUUUUGGAUCUUGUAAAAUUCUUUAAACUCUCAAUAAAAU
rnacentral:lncRNA from 1 species